AGCUUGAUGUGGGACUCAAUCCCAGGAUCCCAGCUGGGUUACGACCUCAGCUGAAAGCAGCUGUUUAACGGACUGAGCCACCCAGGCAACCCCGGCAGAAGUCCUUCCUUCUGUGGCGUUCAUUUUCCUUGCCUGUAAAAUGAAGCCUUGCCUGUGAUGUUGCUUUACUCUCUGCUCCAACAGCCAAUGAUUCGUACUGUCACAGCAGUCCGCUGUGGACAGGUGUGACUUGACUGCACCUUGCUUCUGCUGGAUUGUGUGAAAGCCCUUUUGGUGCACCACUUUGAAGAGGUGUAGGGUGGUGUAAAAGGCACCCAAGCAGCAGAAUGUCAUGGCAGAAGGAUCUUACUGGCUUCAGCAGCCCAUAUAUCUCACUCCAGCGUCAGAUAACUGGACCACCCUGCCUCAACAACAGGGAAGUAAAGACAAUUCCAUUACUAAGAGUUGCAGAUGCAUGGCAUUAAUAAUGUAAUGCUGAAUAUUUAACUGAAGCAAAAUUGCCAGAUGAGGAAGCAAACGCACAGAGAGGUUAAGCUACCUACCCAGAAUCACACAGGAAGUGAUUAGCAGAGCAGGGAUUCAAUCCCAGACUGUGUAGCUCUGGAGUUCAUGACCACAGCCACCAUGCUUACCAACCAUGCAUCAAAGACGUAAGAUUAUCUGUUACCUCUUUUCUCUGGGGAAGUGGUCCCACUUCACUUUUUGUUUAGAUGGAUAUUGUCCUUCUGGCCCCUGAGAUCCUUCAAGAUUCCAGCCUGGUGGGCAGAGCUGCUUCAGGAUCCAAUUUCCUUCUGUUCCCUGGUCUAUCACAGUGCCACCUAGCUCGGGGGACCUGCUCAUUAAAUGACAGGCGAGUAAAUAAAUACAAUGCUAAUUACCUCAGAAAACAUACAUCACAUCACAUCUUACAGUUCAUGUGGCUUAAGAAGACUCCACACAAAAGCUGUCAUUGUCCACUUGGUUUCUCUUCAGACUGUGGAGUUGAUCCAACCAAACGUCUAAUUCUUCCUGACUGCCCCCCGCCCCACACAGUUUGCAAUGCUGGUUUUUAGGCCAUAAAAUACAAUCAUGUCGCCGUGGACAUGGGCAGGCUCCUAGGCCCACUGCAUUGUAUCUUUCAAGAAGUGAUAUGUCACUGCUUUACAAAACACCUGGAAUCUGUAUCGUUUAUUGCUCUGAGCCCAGCCAAGUUCUCAUCCUCCCUGUUCACACAACUUUGAGCUGGUUUAGCUCACCGCUGCUCAGAAUGCUGGGGCUAGGGGGGAGUGGGGAGACAAUUUCCUGGGCAAAGAUGGAAAUCAUGUUCAAGAAGGAAGGCUGCCUAAUGGAGUUUACAGCUCGGGAAAUUUCCUUCCAAAGACUGCAUGUUUCUGCACAGAAGGAAAGCACGUUCCACGAAGAGUCCCUACAGAUUUCCAAACUCUGCUGAAAGAUCUGAAGUCAUUCAAUGCAAUUCUAGAAGUCUGGAGGGUUAAAAUGUCCCUGUCUUUCUCCCCUUUAAUCCAUCUUCAACAUAUUUUUUUCUAAACAUUGACUUUAUUUUAGUAUAUUGUGUUGUGAAUUAUAAUGGUUGUAUAUAGAUUCUUGUAACCACCACCACAAUCGAGAGAGAGAGCAGCUCCAUUAUCUCCCUCUCCAAAACUGACAUUUUUUUAUAGUCACACCCUCUCCUGUCCCUAACCCCUGGUAAAUGUCAAUAUAUUCUCCGUCAGUACAAUUUUGUCCUUUAGUGACCAUCAUAUAAAUGCAACCAUAGAGUGUGUAAACUUUGAGGCUGGCUUCUUCCACACAACAUAAUGCUUUUGAAAUUCAUUCAAAUUGUUUUAUCUAUCUAUAGUUCAUUCUUUUUUUUUAUUGAGGACAUCAAUCCCAUUGUAUGGAUAUUUCACAGCUUGUUUGUUUGUCUGUUUGUUUUUAUAAUUCAGCCCCUGAAAGAUAUUUGAGUUUCCAGUUGCAGUCUCCUUAAGGUGCUCUCUCCCUCUCCCUCUGCCCCU